AGCGAACGCUGGCGGCAGGCCUAACACAUGCAAGUCGAACGAAGUCUUCGGACUUAGUGGCGGACGGGUGAGUAACACGUGGGAACGUACCUUUUGGUUCGGAACAACUCAGGGAAACUUGAGCUAAUACCGGAUGAGCCCUUAGGGGGAAAGAUUUAUCGCCGAAAGAGCGGCCCGCGUUAGAUUAGCUAGUUGGUGAGGUAAAGGCUCACCAAGGCUACGAGCUAUAGCUGGUCUGAGAGGAUGAUCAGCCACACUGGGACUGAGACACGGCCCAGACUCCUACGGGAGGCAGCAGUGGGGAAUCAUGCGCAAUGGGCGAAAGCCUGACGCAGCCAUGCCGCGUGAAUGGUGAAGGUCUUAGGAUUGUAAAAUUCUUUUACCAGGGACGAUAAUGACGGUACCUGGAGAAAAAGCCCCGGCUAACUUCGUGCCAGCCGCCGCGGUAAGAC
rnacentral:rRNA from 1 species